CCUGGUGUAGAUCAGCGGUAGAUCACCCGGCUUGUAUCCGGGAGGGCGCGAGUUCGAUUCUCGCCACCAGGUCAA
rnacentral:tRNA from 1 species